rnacentral:lncRNA from 1 species
AAAAAAAUGAGGCCUCUGUCUGCUUUCCUUCUUGCUAGGAAGAGGUGUGUUUUCUUUUGGAGGCUUUCUCUACUUCAAGCCAUAAGGAUUUACUUUUAUCAAUUAAAUAUAAAUGGGCUUGCUGCGUGGCUGCCAACCUGGAAGGCCCCAGUGCCCUUCCCUCUCCCAGAUCCUGUGGCCGCUCUUGCAUUUGAACUCUGCAGGCUUAGUGGAGUGGGUCAGUGGAGAAAGGCCACAUCUCCAGAACAAAGCCUGUGUUUCAGUCCUGAGUCUCCCUUCAGUUUGGGCCUCUGUGAGUGGAGCAGAUAUUUUAAAGCCUCUCAAUGACAGGUAACUUAAGGGGGGAUUAUAACAUCAAAGUGGUGUUUUUUUUUUGUUUUUUGUUUUUUUCCUUUCUUUCUGUGCUUACAAUCUUAAUUUUUUUUUUUUUUGUCUUUUUGCCUUUUCUAGGGCCGCUUCUGUGGCAUGUGGAGGUCCCCAGGCUAGGGGUCUAAUCAGAGUUGUAGCCACUGGCCUAUACCACAGCCACAGCAAUGCUGGAUCCUUGACCCGCUGGAUGAGGCCAGGGUUCGAACCCACAACCUCAUGGUUCCUAGUUGGAUUCAUUAACCACUGAGCCACGGGAACUCCUGCUUACAAUCUUGCUGUUAGGUUUUUCUAGAUUAAUCAGUUUUACUAGAUUAACUAAUGGUUUUAUUUCUUUUCACAAUUACAUGUCAUUUGCUUCCUCUUCCUCCCUUUCGAGAUAUCAAUUUUGGUUUUUGCAGCAUAAUCUACCACAUAGGUCCAGUCUUUAGGGAGUGUCCCUGGGCUACAUUUAUUUUAUAUGAACAAGACAGUUCUACUAGCUUCUGUUUAGGUCAUACCCAUGUGCAGUGUGCUGAGUUGAGACACCAGGUAAAGACGGGGAUUAUAAUAUCUUUUACUUAAACCGUUCCUCUUCUGGCUCUGAUAAAACUUUAAACACAAAACGUACCUUCCUUUUUAUUUCAUAGGUAGUUUCUCUGUCAAAAGCAAUGCUAAAGGCAAGAUGAAUAAAACCAGCUUCUACACUUUAAGGUUAUCUUUGAAAUAUUUAUGGAUAUGUUCAGGGGAAAAAAGGCUUUGACUACUUGCUGCUAAAACAAUGGGUGAAGCUGAGUUUCUUCUAGAAUAUUGUUGGUAUUGUUAAUGCAAUAUUGUUAUGUUAUUAUAGAAUAUUGGAGAAAUUCUACAAUAAAACUUUAAAAAUUGUUUUUUAAAAAUGUU